rnacentral:rRNA from 2 species
ACUCCUACGGGAGGCAGCAGUGGGGAAUAUUGGACAAUGGGCGAAAGCCUGAUCCAGCCAUGCCGCGUGUGUGAAGAAGGUCUUCGGAUUGUAAAGCACUUUAAGUUGGGAGGAAGGGCAGUUACCUAAUACGUGAUUGUUUUGACGUUACCGACAGAAUAAGCACCGGCUAACUCUGUGCCAGCAGCCGCGGUAAU